rnacentral:rRNA from 1 species
UACAGAGGUCUCAAGCGUUGUUCGGAUUUAUUGGGCGUAAAGGGCGCGUAGGCGGCCACGCAAGUCCUGGGUGAAAUCCCUCGGCUCAACCGAGGAACUGCCUCGGAAACUGCAUGGCUCGAGGCCGGGAGAGGGUAGCGGAAUUCCCAGUGUAGCGGUGAAAUGCGUAGAUAUUGGGAGGAACACCGGUGGCGAAGGCGGCUACCUGGACCGGUUCUGACGCUGAUGCGCGAAAGCGUGGGGAGCAAACAGG